CACCCCCCGUACCACACCCCCUCCUCCCGCCUGCAGCAGAGGCCGGACUCCUGGCUUUCUGGAGACGGUACCUGCUCAACCCUUCACCUCCUCCACCUCCAAUGAACCCCUACCCUCCUCCACCUCCCAUGAACCCCUACCCAUCUCCACCUCCAAUGAACCCCUACCCUUCUCCACCUCCAAUGAACCCCUACCCUUCUCCACCUUUUUUACCGGAAGACCCUGAGCUCGACGUGGUGGGGGUGGAUUAAAGAGUCUGCUGAGGAGAGUUGAGUUGUUCACAGACCUGCACGUGCUGCAGAUCGCUCCCAUCAGGGUUCUGCACUGGUUCACGUUGAUGAGCUGAUAAAGGUUCAAGACUUUGUUUUAACGAAUUUAGCAGAAUUUAUUAAUUUAUUUUGUAUUUACAUUUUCAGAAAUGCUAAUAAAAGCAGUUUGGUUCAGA